UACGAAGGGGGCUAGCGUUGCUCGGAAUCACUGGGCGUAAAGCGCACGUAGGCGGCCUGUUAAGUCACACGUGAAAUCCCUCGGCUCAACCGGGGAACUGCGUGUGAUACUGGCGGGCUUGAAUUCGGGAGAGGGAUGUGGAAUUCCAGGUGUAGCGGUGAAAUGCGUAGAUAUCUGGAGGAACACCGGUGGCGAAGGCGGCAUCCUGGACCGGUAUUGACGCUGAGGCGCGAAAGCUAGGGGAGCAAACGGG
rnacentral:rRNA from 1 species